rnacentral:rRNA from 1 species
UACGUAGGGGGCAAGCGUUGUCCGGAUUCAUUGGGCGUAAAGAGCGUGUAGGCGGCCAGGUAGGUCGGUUGUGAAAACUGGAGGCUCAACCUUCAGAGGUCGACCGAAACCAUCUGGCUAGAGUCCGGGAGAGGAGAGUGGAAUUCCUGGUGUAGCGGUGAAAUGCGCAGAUAUCAGGAAGAACACCCGUGGCGAAAGCGGCUCUCUGGAACGGUACUGGACGCUGAGACGCGAAAGCCGUGGGGAGCGAACAGG